rnacentral:rRNA from 1 species
UACGUAGGGGGCGAGCGUUGUCCGGAAUUACUGGGUGUAAAGGGCGCGUAGGCGGGCUGUUAAGUCAGAUGUGAAAUUUCAGGGCUCAACCCUGAACCUGCAUCUGAAACUGGCGGUCUUGAGUGCAGUAGAGGAAAGCGGAAUUCCUAGUGUAGCAGUGAAAUGCGUAGAGAUUAGGAGGAACACCAGUGGCGAAGGCGGCUUUCUGGGCUGUAACUGACGCUGAGGCGCGAAAGCGUGGGGAGCAAACAGG